rnacentral:rRNA from 1 species
CCUACGGGAGGCAGCAGUGAGGAAUAUUGCUCAAUGGGGGAAACCCUGAAGCAGCAACGCCGCGUGAAGGAUGACGGUUUUCGGGUUGUAAACUCCUUUUGUUCGAGAAGCUAAUGACGGUAUCUAACGAAUAAGCACCGGCUAACGACGUGCCAGCAGCCGCGAUAAUAAGGAGGGUGCAAGCGUUACUCGGAAUCACUGGUCGUAAAGAGCGCGUAGGCGGGAUAGCAAGUCAGAUGUGAAAACCUAUGGCUUAACCAUAGAACUGCAUUUGAAACUGUUAUUCUAGAGUAUGGGAGAGGUAGGGGGAAUGCUGGGUGUAGGGGUAAAAUCAGUAGAG